rnacentral:rRNA from 1 species
AUUGAACGCUGGCGGCAGGCCUAACACAUGCAAGUCGUACGAGUGGCGGACGGGUGAGUAAUGUCUGGGAAACUGCCUGAUGGAGGGGGAUAACUACUGGAAACGGUCGCUAAUACAGCAUACCAUCAGAUGUGCCCAGAUGGGAUGAGCUAGUUGGUGGGGUAACGGCUCACCAAGGCGACGAUCCCUAGCUGGUCUGAGAGGAUGACCAGCCACACUGGAACUGAGACACGGUCCGAACUCCUACGGGAGGCAGAAGUGGGGAGUAUUGCACAAUGGGCGCAAGCAUGAUGCAGCAAUGCCGCGUGUAUGAAGAAGGCCUUCGGGUUGUAAAGUACUUUCAGCGGGGAGGAGUUACCCGCAGAAGAAGCACCGGCUAACUCCGUGCCAGCAGCCGCGGUAAUUC